CUACGGGUUGCUGCAGUGAGGAAUAUUGCACAAUGGGGGGAACCCUGAUGCAGCAACGCCGCGUGGAGGAUGACGCAUUUCGGUGUGUAAACUCCUUUUAUAUGUCAAGAAAAUGACGGUAGCAUAUGAAUAAGCACCGGCUAACUCCGUGCCAGCAGCCGCGGUAAUACGGAGGGUGCAAGUGUUACUCGGAAUCACUGGGCGUAAAGGACGCGUAGGCGGGUUGGAAAGUCAGGUGUGAAAUCCUACAGCUUAACUGCAGAACUGCACUUGAAACUUCUAAUCUAGAGUAUGGGAGGGGGAGAUGGAAUUAGUGGUGUAGGGGUAAAAUCCGUAGAUAUCACUAGGAAUACCUAAAGCGAAGGCGAUCUCCUGGAACAUUACUGACGCUAAGGCGUGAAAGCGUGGGGAGCAAACAGGAUUAGAUACCCUUGUAGUC
rnacentral:rRNA from 1 species